UCUUAGCUCAGCUUUCUCAGCUGCUCCUACCACCACCCAGCCAAAUCAGUGAACAAAUGAAACAACCUGACUGUCUAUUUCUGUCUUUUCACCUACAGUUAAUUCUCAAUGUGGCAGCCAGUAGAAUCUGUUUUAAAAUGUGUGUCAAGUUGUACUUUUUGUUCUCAACCCUCCAGCAGCUUCCUAUCUGCGUGAAGAAUGGCAUCAAGGUCACAGGUGACAUGGCUCAUCUCUCCCCUUUCUGAUGUCUUCCCUUACUGAUUGCCUCUUUGCUGUGCCUCAGACAAGAGGAAAAAUUUUUACAAGUCACCUCGUAAUGAAGACCAGCAUCAGUUUAUAUGGUGUGAGUUAUUUUCAUUUCUCUUAGAUUGCAUCUACACUGACAGAAGAAAGUAGAAAGCAUUCCUCCCCUCUGGAGCAUGCAGUUUUCAAGGAAUCAUCUUGGAAGCAGAGACUGGACCCUCAGGAGACAACAAAACUGUCAGCACCUUGAUCUUGAACUUCCCAGCCAUCAGGACUGUGAGAAAAUAAAUUUCUGUGUUUUAUAAAUUACCCAGUAUCCAGUAUUUUGUUAUAGCAGCACAAAUAGACUAGGACAGCAUGUGAAAAAAGUGGAGGAGAAUGGCAAAAAAAAAAAAAAAAAAAAAAAAAAA